rnacentral:rRNA from 1 species
UACGGAGGAUCCGAGCGUUAUCCGGAUUUAUUGGGUUUAAAGGGUGCGUAGGCGGAAAUGUAAGUCAGUGGUGAAAUCCUGCAGCUUAACUGUAGAAUAGCCGUUGAAACUGUGUUUCUUGAGUACAUUUGAGGUAGGCGGAAUGUGGUGUGUAGCGGUGAAAUGCAUAGAUAUACCACAGAACACCGAUUGCGAAGGCAGCUUACUAAACUGUCACUGACGCUGAGGCUCGAAAGCGUGGGGAGCAAACAGGAUUAGAUA